rnacentral:rRNA from 1 species
ACCUGCGGAGGGAUCAUUAUAGAGUUUCUACUCUUCAUCCCCUGUGUACUUACCUAUUAUCCUCCGGCGGAACGCCCCGGUGCCUUCGGGGCCGGGUCAGGCGCCCGCCGGGGACCAAACAAACUGUAUUUGUCUCCUGUAUACCUCAGAAAUUGGCGUAAAGCCGAAAUGUAACAACUUUUGACAAUGGAUCUCUUGGCACUGGCAUCGAUGAAGAACGCAGCGAAAUGCGAUAAGUAAUGUGAAUUGCAGAGCACAGUGAAUCAUCGAAUCUUUGAACGCACAUGGCGCCCGCCGGUAAUCCGGCGGGCAUGCCUGUCCGAGCGUCAUUUCAACCCUCAGAACCCCUCUCUCGGGAGGGCGUUACUGGUGUUGGGGAACGAGCGCCCCCCGCGGCGCCCGUCCCUUAAAUCUAUUGGCGGCUCCGGAGUCUGUCUCCCCUGCGUAGUAUUGCAUCUCGCUUUGGUGACUUCUUCGGGCUGCUGUGGCUCUGCCACGAAACCCCCACUAGGUUGACCUCGGAUCAGGUAGGGAUACCCGCUGAACUUAAGCAUAUCA